AGCAACGGCGCUGACCGGGCAGUGGGCAGGGCCUGCGCAGGGGCGGAGCCGGGCUCCUAGUAGCUCCCGCUCCAGCCUCCGACUGGUGCAGAUUGUCCAAUCGGAGACUUUCGGACGGAAAAUGCCAAGCAGGGAUUGGAAAAUUUGGAAAAGAGAAGAAAUGCUUGAGAGGUAAAUAACAAGCGCGUGGACAAGGAAAUAAUCAAACAUAAAAUAAGGUGGUGAGCGGCGCUAGAAAGCAAAACCCCAUGUUAUGGAACACAUCCAAGCGGCCACAAAAAGAAUGUGGAAGACACCAGACCCGGCGAUCCCACUCCUCGGUAUUUACUCGAGGGAAAUGAAAACGUAUUCACACAAUGACUUACUUGUACAGGAAUGUUCAUAGCGGCUGUUUUCAUAAUCACCCCAAACUGGAAACAACCCAAAAUGUCCAUCAGCUGCUGAAUGGAUAAACGCGUUGCAAUACAUCUAUUCCACCGAAUACACCGGCAGCACAAAGGAAUGAAUUCUUGAUAAGCACUAGGACAUGGAUAAAUUGCAAAUGUAUCAGGCUGGGUGAAAGGAGUCAGUCGCAAAAGGCUACAAACUGCAUGAUUUAUUAGCAUUCUGGGAAAUCUAAUCUAUUGUGACAGAGAUCAGAUUAGCUGUUGCCCGAGGCUGGGGUGCAGAAGCUGCAAAGGGACAGACAGGUGGGAACUUUUUGGGGUGACAGAACUGUUCUGUAUCUUGAUUGUGGUGCUGGUGGUUUCAACUGUCAAAACUCAUCAGAUUGUACACUUUAAAAGGGUGCAGUAAAUUGUGUUAAAUUAUA